rnacentral:sRNA from 1 species
ACUAAUAAUGUAAAUAGGGAAGUCUUCUGUGCAAAUUUCCACUUCUGUAAACUUGAAAGCGUCAUGGACUUUACUGGCCCGAUACCGGUGUCGAUUCACUCUCACUGAAUCUGGAACCGAAAUCGUCCUUAACUUUCUUCUCCUUAGCUUUUGCUCCAAAAUGUCUCCUCAUCUCCAUUGUAGUCCUUCCUCAUAUAAUAACUGAAAAGACUCUAAAAAGACUCGAGAAAUAACAAAAAGACUCAAAAUCCUAUACCUAAAACAUAGAUAAAAUCAAUAAAAAUAGGGUUAUAUCAAACAAUCAAAUAGAAAGA